rnacentral:rRNA from 1 species
AUUAAACGCUGGCGGCAGGCCUAACACAUGCAAGUCGAACGGUAACAGGGAUCAGCUUGCUGAUUCGCUGACGAGUGGCGGCCGGGUGAGUAAUGUCUGGGAAACUGCCUGAUGGAGGGGGAUAACUACUGGAAACGGUAGCUAAUACCGCAUAACGUCGCAAGACCAAAGAGGGGGACCUUCGGGCCUCUUGCCCUCGGAUGUGCCCUGAUGGGAUUAGCUAGUAGGUGGGGUAACGGCUCACCUAGGCGACGAUCCCUAGCUGGUCUGAGAGGAUGACCAGCCACACUGGAACUGAGACACGGUCCAGACUCCUACGGGAGGCAGCAGUGGGGAAUAUUGCACAAUGGGCGAAAGCCUGAUGCAGCCAUGCCGCGUGUAUGAAGAAGGCCUUCGGGUUGUAAAGUACUUUCAGCGGGGAGGAAGGGAGUAAAGUUAAUACCUUUGCUCAUUGACGUUACCCGCAGAAGAAGCACCGGCUAACUCCGUG